CCUACGGGUGGCAGCAGUGGGGAAUAUUGCACAAUGGGGGAAACCCUGAUGCAGCAACGCCGCGUGAGUGAAGAAGUAUCUCGGUAUGUAAAGCUCUAUCAGCAGGGAAGAAAAUGACGGUACCUGACUAAGAAGCCCCGGCUAACUACGUGCCAGCAGCCGCGGUAAUACGUAGGGGGCAAGCGUUAUCCGGAUUUACUGGGUGUAAAGGGAGCGUAGACGGUGUGGCAAGUCUGAAGUGAAAGCCCGGGGCUCAACCCCGGGACUGCUUUGGAAACUGUCAUGCUGGAGUGCUGGAGAGGUAAGCGGAAUUCCUAGUGUAGCGGUGAAAUGCGUAGAUAUCAGGAGGAACACCGGCGGCGAAGGCGGCCUGCUGGACCGCGACUGACGUUGAGGCUCGAAAGCGUGGGGAGCGAACAGGAUUAGAUACCCUGGUAGUC
rnacentral:rRNA from 1 species